UUUGGCAACACAAUUGGAAAAUUAUACUAAUUUGGAAAUAUACAGAGAAGAUUAGCAUGACCCUUCUGCAAGAGUGACAUGCAAAUUCUCAGAGUUCCAUUUAA